AUCGAAGGGAGAAUGAAGAGUAGCAUAAAUCUACAUGUCUUCAUCUUCAAAGACUUUUGCCACCAUCACAACGUCAUUCAAAGGUGGAUAAGAAGGUAUAGCAUUGGGCUAUGCUAAAAGGAUAUAGCGCUGGUUAUAGUAGAAAGUUGUUGACUCGGAGGAUUAGUUUUGAUGAUCACAAAAUAUUUAAGGUUCCAUUUGGGGGAGUUUUUGGAGGACCAAAAAGCACUUUCUAGCCCUCCAAAAGC
rnacentral:lncRNA from 1 species